GUUCCAGCAGCCGCGGUAAGACGAACCAUCCAAACGUUAUUCGGAAUUACUGGGCUUAAAGGGUGCGUAGGCUGCGCAGAAAGUUGGGUGUGAAAUCCCUCGGCUUAACCGAGGAACUGCGCCCAAAACUACUGUGCUUGAGGGAGACAGAGGUGAGCGGAACUUAGGGUGGAGCGGUGAAAUGCGUUGAUAUCCUAAGGAACACCCGUGGCGAAAGCGGCUCACUGGGUCUCUUCUGACGCUGAUGCACGAAAGCUAGGGGAGCGAACGGGAUUAGAAACCCCGGUAGUCC
rnacentral:rRNA from 1 species